CAGAGACACCCAUAGACCCACAAACCACAUCACCCUGUCAACAAAUGUCCCCUGAUAUUGUCUUGCCAUAUCAAAUACUAUGCUAAAUUCUUCUAAUGUGUUAUAUACAACAAGCUUCACUUCAAUGAAUGAAUUUUUCUUUGAAUUUCCUGACCAUUAAAAUUUUCAGAUAUUGGGAAUUGGAUCUGAAUUCACUGCCUUGACUAUGAAUUUAAAUUUUAUGCUAUGUCCUUCCUUGAAGGUCAGAAGAAACUGCUUCAACCUGAGAGCAAAUUAGCACCUUAAAUUCCAGGACAUGAAAUAGGCCCUUUUGAGCUACAUGAAAGGCUAUUCAAGGAGAAUGCGGUCUUAAAUAACCACAGGUGAACAUCUCUUUCUGGGAAGAGAGGAAUCAGAUGCUGACCUUACCAAAAAUGCUGAAAAUGAUGCUUUAGAGCAGAGAUUCACUUCACUUGGCUGAAAAAAAAUUAACACUUCUCUUCAUGACUGUUACCAAAUAUUGUGUGUCGA